rnacentral:rRNA from 1 species
GACGAACGCUGGCGGCGUGCCUAAUACAUGCAAGUUGAGCGCUGAAGGUUGGUACUUGUACCAACUGGAUGAGCAGCGAACGGGUGAGUAACGCGUGGGGAAUCUGCCUUUGAGCGGGGGACAACAUUUGGAAACGAAUGCUAAUACCGCAUAAAAACUUUAAACACAAGUUUUAAGUUUGAAAGAUGCAAUUGCAUCACUCAAAGAUGAUCCCGCGUUGUAUUAGCUAGUUGGUGAGGUAAAGGCUCACCAAGGCGAUGAUACAUAGCCGACCUGAUAGGAUGAGCGGCCGCAUUGGGACUGUGACACGGCCCAAACUUCUACGGGAGGCAGCAGUAGGGAAUCUUCGGCAAGGGACGAAAGUCUGACCGAGCAACGCCGCGUGAGUGAAGAAGGUUUUCGGAUCGUAAAACUCUGUUGGUAGAGAAGAACGUUGGUGAGAGUGGAAAGCUCAUCAAGUGACGGUAACUACCCAGAAAGGGACGGCUAACUACGUG